GAUGAACGCUGGCGGCGUGCCUAAUACAUGCAAGUCGAGCGAACAGACGAGGAGCUUGCUCCUCUGACGUUAGCGGCUGACGGGUGAGUAACACGUGGAUAACCUACCUAUAAGACUGGGAUAACUUCGGGAAACCGGAGCUAAUACCGGAUAAUAUAUUGAACCGCAUGGUUCAAUAGUGAAAGACGGUUUUGCUGUCACUUAUAGAUGGAUCCGCGCCGCAUUAGCUAGUUGGUAAGGUAACGGCUUACCAAGGCAACGAUGCGUAGCCGAACUGAGAGGGUGAUCGGCCACGAUGGAACGGAGACACGGUCCAGACUACUACGGGAGGCAGCAGUAGGGAAUCUGCCGCAAUGGGCGAAAGCCUGACGGAGCAAAGCCGCGUGAGUGAUGAAGGUCUUCGGAUCGUAAAACUCUGUUAUUAGGGAAGAACAAAUGUGUAAGUAACUAUGCACGUCUUGACGGUACCUAAUCAGAAAGACACGGCUAACUAAGUG
rnacentral:rRNA from 1 species